rnacentral:sRNA from 1 species
GUAACUUUCCAGCCAAAUUUCGUUUAAACGGUUAAACGGAAUUGUCGGGUUGUUAGUGCAAUGGAAGGCUGGUAAAGAGUACUACAAGAUGGUAUACUCAUACGUUAAAAACGAAGUUGUAUUGAAUGAGAAAUAAGGGUGUGAAGUGGGAAACUUGGACCAAACCGGACCGAACCAAAUCGAACCGAACUUGGCUGAGCCCGAUUGCGGGUUAGCGAAUUGUCACGUCGUCGACUCGAGGACUGUCGGGUUUGUGGACCGUUAUGCUUGUGAGUUAUUGGGCUUGUUGGGUUGAAUCUUACGAAAAUACUCCAUAUUCUCAAAAUAUUCCAUAUCCUGAGAAUAUUCUCACAAAUCCUACCUCUCUCUACUAUAUAUAAAGAGACCAAGUCUCUCAUUAUUUCUCACAAACACAAAACACUCUAAGUUUUAAAGUCUCGCUUCUCUCUUGCUUCUUAAAAGUAAGUUUUUAUUUUAGUAGUUUCGAAAACAUAUCGUAGAUUAAGUUCGCUUGAGUUAUAGUGUGUUUGGGUAUUAGUUCGUGAUCGGUUGUAUCCUGGGAUAU